rnacentral:rRNA from 1 species
AGAAUCAACGCUGGCGGCGUGCCUAACACAUGCAAGUCGAACGCGGUUACCCCGCAAGGGGUAACUGAGUGGCGAACGGGUGAGUAACACGUGGGUGACCUACCUUCGAGUGGGGGAUAACGUCCCGAAAGGGACGCUAAUACCGCAUAACAUCCUGCCUUUGAACAGGUGGAGAUCAAAGCCGGGGAUCGCAAGACCUGGCGCUUGAUGAGGGGCCCGCGUCCGAUUAGCUAGUUGGUGGGGUAAUGGCUCACCAAGGCGACGAUC